CUCCCUUCCCCAACCCUGCUGUAUUUCAUUUUCCUCUCAUGUCUCAUGACCACAUAAUUCCUUCUUCAAUGACAAAUUGUAUUGAAUGCAGUGGCCAGUCUUACAAGUGCUGUAAUCUGAAUGAAAAAAUGAAGCUUUCCACUUGAUCACUGUGGUAUAUUAUUAUUUUUAAAAAGAUGGAAGUUGUCAUAUGACAAUGGAGGCAUUAAUUCUUUAACGUAUUCCAAAACUGUAGCUCAUAUUUGCCAAGAAAACAGAAUGUGAAUGUGAAGCUGUGUUUGUGCUUGAGGCAGGAGGAAGCAGAAGGAGACCAAAAAGUCGCCUUAAUGUUAAGCAAAACUUUGAAUCAGCAUUUAAAUUAGAUAUGCCUUAACGGCUGAUGUUAUUUGAAAGCUGAAUAGCCAAUGUCAAAAAUAGAUUUUCCUUUCUUUCCAAAGUGCAGAUGGGGUCCAGAAAGGGGCUAAAAUAACCACAUGCCUUUCUUGGACUCCUGACUCUCACCCCCCAAAGGGUUUUCUUGUGUAGGAACCAACAAUUCCUUGGAUGGAAACACUGGAUAGGCUAGUCAUUAUUUUGAGAUUGAAGGGACUGCAGAUUCUUGGCAGACCUCUGUUGUUUUUCUAGAGUUGUAGGCAAGUAGUUGGACAAAAAGCAAGAAGCUGAUCCAUGUUGCUGGCUUUGGAUUCUUUGUGAACAAAUGAGACAAGGCUGCAAAUUCAGAGAAUCCUCCCAGAUGAGAUGGAUCAGGUCACCACCUUCUUUCCCUUCUUUCCUGCUUCACACCCUCAGGCCCCGACUCCUGUCUGCUGAGAUCACUCUCCAAACCAAUCUUCCUUUACAAAGCCCUUGUUGCAGGCCGUGCCUUCUGAGAGGAACCCAGGCCAAGACACUAAAACGACACACCAACGUGAAGACAGGAACACAAACUGCUAAGGGAUUGGUUGGAUUGCAUAUCUCUGUGAAUGGGACUCAAGAGAAGUUUGGGAAAUGCUGGACCAGAUGACCCUUGCAAUCAUGGUGCACAGAAUUAAAACCGUCAAGGUCCCCCAUCCAUCUCUGAAAUGGAUGAGAAUCUGAGUCUUCCACGAAGAACAGUGGGAGAAGAUGCCCAAGCCUUAUUAAACUCGUGGAAUGUCUUUGGGUAUGUGUGACAUCAACAAGAAGCAGCAAAGAAAACAAAAUAUUUUCACAAACAUUCAGAAAUCCCCAAAUCUUGUGAGUUGUCUGUACCAUUUGUAGGUUUAAUGAUAAAAUGGCACAUGAUGUUGA